rnacentral:rRNA from 1 species
UGGGGAAUAUUGGACAAUGGGCGAAAGCCUGAUCCAGCAAUGCCGCGUGUGUGAAGAAGGCCUUCGGGUUGUAAAGCACUUUAAGUUGGGAAGAAAAAACGCUCUGGCUAAUAUCUAGAGCCUUGACGGUACCAACAGAAUAAGCACCGGCUAACUCUGUGCCAGCAGCCGCGGUAAUACAGAGGGUGCUAGCGUUAAUCGGAUUUACUGGGCGUAAAGCGUGCGUAGGCGGUUUGAUAAGUCGAUUGUGAAAGCCCCGGGCUUAACCUGGGAAUUGCAGUUGAUACUGUCAGACUAGAAAAUCGGUAGAGGGAGGCGGAACUCCAGGUGUAGCGGUGAAAUGCGUAGAUAUCUGGAAGAACACCGAU